rnacentral:tRNA from 1 species
GGGGAAAUUACUGAUUGGUCAGUGAGCGAGCUGUAAACUCGUGAGUUUUUAACUCUUUGGGGGUUCGAAUCCCUCUUUCCUCA